UGCAAGGGGCUGUUGCUCAGUGGGUAGAGCACUUGCCUUGCACGCAGAAGGUCCCGGAGGGGGUUCAAUUCUGGGUAGGGCUUGCAA